rnacentral:rRNA from 1 species
AGUCGUCUGCCGGCGGCUGGGCGAGUCAGAAAUUGUGGGUGUAGGCGAAGGGCAUGCGAAAGGCCYGGCGUAGAGGGUAAGACCCCCGUAGCUGAAACAUCUGCAACUCGCUUGUGGGUUUCCCAAGUAGCAUGGGGCCCGAGAAAUCCUGUGUGAAUCUGGCGGGACCACCCGUCAAGCCUAAAUAUUCCCUGGUGACCGAUAGCGGAUAGUACCGUGAGGGAAUGGUGAAAAGUACCGCGGGAGCGGAGUGAAAGAGUACCUGAAACCGUGUGCCUACAAGCCGUGGGAGCGUCGCGUGGAGAUUUCGGUCUUCACGUCGUGACUGCGUGCCUUUUGAAGAAUGAGCCUGCGAGUUUGCGGCAUGUUGCGAGGUUAACCCGUGUGGGGGAGCCGUAGCGAAAGCGAGUCCGAAGAGGGCGUUGAGUAGCGUGUUCAAGACCCGAAGCGAGGUGAUCUAGCCAUGGGCAGGGUGAAGCGGCUGUAAGAGGUCGUGGAGGCCCGAACCCACCAGGGUUGAAAACCUGGGGGAUGACCUGUGGUUAGGGGUGAAAGGCCAAUCAAACUCCGUGAUAGCUGGUUCUCCCCGAAAUGCAUUUAGGUGCAGCGUCGUGUGUUUCUUGCCGGAGGUAGAGCACUGGAUAGGCGAUGGGCCUUACCGGGUUACUGACCUUAGCCAAACUCCGAAUGCCGGUAAGUGAGAGCGCGGCAGUGAGACUGUGGGGGAUAAGCUCCAUGGUCGAGAGGGAAACAGCCCAGAGCAUCGACUAAGGCCCCUAAGCGUGUGCUAAGUGGGAAAGGAUGUGGAGUCGCAGAGACAACCAGGAGGUUGGCUUAGAAGCAGCCAUCCUUGAAAGAGUGCGUAAUAGCUCACUGGUCAAGUGAUUCUGCGCCGAUAAUGUAGCGGGGCUCAAGUACACCGCCGAAGUCG